rnacentral:rRNA from 1 species
UGGGGAAUCUUGGACAAUGGGGGCAACCCUGAUCCAGCGACGCCGCGUGGGUGGUAAGGCCUUCGGGUUGUAAAGCCCUUUCACCGGGGAAGAUGAUGACAUUACCCGGAGAAGAAGCGCCGGCUAACUCCGUGCCAGCAGCCGCGGUAAUACGGAGGAUGCAAGCGUUAUUCGGAAUUAUUGGGCGUAAAGCGUCCGCAGGUGGUGCCUCAAGUCUGCUGUCAAAGACCGAAGCUCAACUUCGGGCAGGCAGUGGAAACUGAAGCACUAGAGUACGGUAGGGGUAGAGGGAAUUUCCAGUGUAGCGGUGAAAUGCGUAGAGAUUGGAAAGAACACCAGUGGCGAAGGCGCUCUACUGGACCGUAACUGACACUCAGGGACGAAAGCUAGGGGAGCGAAAGGGAUUAGAUACCCCCGUAGUCC